UCCUGUGAGAUCCACAUUACACGCAAUGAACCGAUACAUAUUAGGACACCCUUUAGGUUGUACGAGAGCGAUGGAUGAUGAACAGCAUAUACGACAGACUGAGAAUAAGACUUGAUGAUGUUGAGAAUGGAAAUUUGGAAUAUAUUUAAGAGACAAUAACACGACCAAAGACCAGAAAACAGCUGAAGGACACCCAUGGUUCUUCCACACAGAAAAAAAAUCUCGCAACCGGUGGCGGGCUUCAGAUGGUCCCUAGAUAAGAAUAUGUGCUAGUUCAGUGAAAAUGGACGUCAUGCUUACCUACAAAUGAAUGAACUAAUUGAGAACGGAAAAGAACAACGGAUGUGGAAAGUCUGCAAGAAUGCUAGAGAUUUGAAGAUCUGCCAAAGAAGAAUGUAUGCCACCCCUUUCCGACCAACAACGCAUAUGGAGAUCUUGUCAGACGAAGAAGAAAACCAUCUAGGAUGUAAACUAAAGUGAUAAUAACCUUCGUGUUACCAUGAAUGCAACAGGAUGAGGAUGAACAUAUAGAGCAGACACAGAAGACAUAAAAACAGUUAAAAGAGAAGAGUAAAAGUGCCAAGAAUAUAAAGAUCAAGUGGCUAACGAAUGCAGACAAAACAACUUGGAAAUCUUUUGAUGAAGAUCUCUAAAGCAUCUUAGAUGCAACAUUCAAGGUACAUGAAGGUAGAAUGAUGAGAGCCAUUGCGCCCAUUCUUUACCGUGUAAUAAAUAUAAAUGGACUAAUAGCUUCCGAAAAAUAAAGAGAGCACACAAGAUUAGAGAAACUAUAUGCAAAAGGAAAGCAAGGACUUGAGAGGAGACAUAAAAGGAUAAGUAGUUAUAGAGUCUUUGAUGAGGAGGAAAGAUUACAUAUGCAACAGUUGAGGACAGAAACAAUGGAGGAAUUGAAGACACUAACUACAGCCGAGACUUGCAGAAGAGACAGAGAGAAAUAGAGAAAUAGAAUUGCGCAAUUCACAGCAAACCUUUUGAAGUACAUUGUAUAUGAAGAGAUUAUUUAAUGUGCGAAACUGGAAACUACAGAUGAAUCAAAAGAACAAUUAGACGAGUUCAGAGAAAUACAGGACGUUCUAAAAGAUACAGGAAUGUUUGUGUACACAUCGUUGAAAACAAUUGAAAACUAAAAAUCCAAAACGUGGAGCCAAAUUCGGCUAACGUUAGGAAGGUCUAAGAUAUAAAAAAAAAUAUGAUUCAAAUGACUUUAGAAAUAUAUAAACAGUAUGAGAUCAAUGACUUUACUGGUCUCGUGAUACCCUUGAAAUGUAUAUCAACGAUGACAUCGAUAAAGUGGAUUUAUAAACUCGUCAAAUCACAAGGUUUAUGAUUCAACUGUUACAUCCAAAGCGUGUCUUGUGUAUAUAAGACUAAACAGUAGCGCUCAAACAAACAAAAUGAAGACAAAUUCAAUGAGAUGUUGAAAAAUAAUUCGCAACCAAAAGUUCUAAAAGUUUUGUUAAAUCAAAGGCCUGGCAAAUCUAUGCAUGGAGUAAAAAAAAAAAGCCGUUAGUAUUUCGAAUGACUCACAUUUGAAACCAUUGAUAACAUAAUAAUUGCAAUUAAUAUUCCAUUUUGAAAUAUUUUUUCCGUCUAUUCGAAAAAACCUAAAAACUUAUUUGUACCAUGUUUAAUACUAUUUGAGUGUCUGCUGUUCCUUUUU
rnacentral:lncRNA from 1 species